GUCCAUUGAAUAAAUGAGGAAAUGAAUGUGCAAGUCAAUGCACCAUAAAACAAUAUCCCAGGACUUAUAUUUACAAUUUUAUAAGCAUCUCUUAUAACGCAUAUAGGAAUAAUUUUAAAUUGAACAAGAAAACACGUUAACUUCGGUUGCAGCGAAGCUAUAAAACCCUUCACAAAUACAAAGGCUCCUUACAAAAACUUAUUCCGAUCGUUCAAUUUGUAUGACAGCUAUAUGAUAUAGUAGUCUGAUCUGAACAAUUUCUGCGAAGAAUACAUUGUUGCCUUAAACAAUAACUCGUGCCUAAUUUCGUGAAAAUACCUCGUCAAAUGAAAGAGUUAACCAUACAAGCAUUUGAUUCCGAUCGUUCAGUUUGUAUGGCAGUACUAUGCUAUAGUCACCUGAUCUAUACAAUUUCUUCGGAGAUUGCCUUAAAUAAUAAUCCAUGCCAAGUUUCCCAUACCAGUACUUAAUUCCGAUUGUUCAGUUUGUAUGGCAGCUAUAGCAAUAAAGGCCCGAUAUCGGCUGUUCCGGGAAAUGAGCAGAAAUUUGCGUCUUUUAUACCAUUUUGUAUUAUAGCCAGAUCAAUCAAAAUAAUAACUUUGGGAAAUUUAAAUUAAAACACCCAAUCUUUUUUUAAUUAAAAAUUAUUAUAUAUAUAUCCGUUUAACAUAUGGAAAAAAUACUUCAAUCCUUUUUUAUGAUUUUGUGAUAGAGUAAAAUAUCUGAAUCAACUUUCAACACUUAAUAAGGUGCUUUAAUCAUUUUCAAUUGAAAAUUAGUACUACGAAGCAUCACAUCACAACCGAUUUUAUCACAUACAUUUCAGUUUCGCGUUUUUUUUUUAUUUUCAUUGUUUUCCAAUUAUUGAUGGAGAUCUUAAACAGCGGAAACCAAUCUCUCCGUCCUUAUAUUUUUCCAAUUGCGAAACGUCAAAACCUCUUUAAUUCAGUCAACUGUCAAAGGUUAAGUUGUGAUUCACAAUCUCACUUCCGAUGACAUGAGAGUUUUACAUCUCUGUACCUCUUGAUGCGGGUGUCGUUGGUCCAAUUUCCUAUAUUAUUGUGUUUUUAUAUAUUGUAAUUAAGCGUGUUUUGACAAAUCCUUGCAUAUGUUUAAGGAUGGCAAAAAAAGUUAUUAGUCGAUUCAUGUAUCAAAUGAUUAAUUGCAACAACAAAAUAUUAGUUUCAAUUAAUUGCUAGAUAUUAACCGAUUAACCCCACCUUUGGUUUUCUUUUGUUCUUACUGUUAAAAUAGUGAAACAUAAAACACCAUAGUCGAUGACACCACAGUCUCCCACAACACGAUAUACCGUACCUGUAAGCAGGACAGCCGGUAUCUUUCGCAAAACCACUCUCGAUGACUCAAUUCUCAACAGACCACCGAUUACGUGCGCUAGGGAUAUAUGAUUACUGCAAUCGACAUCACUCCGCAAACCCAUUCGAUUAUUAGCUUCAAUCAACACGGUUACUGUUUGCUGUUGUGUUGAGUGAAUCUGAUAAUAUCUUACCAUGGGCAGAGGGGUAGUAAACUUAGUAUUACGUACAAUUUUCAAUUUUAAUAUUCAUCACUUUCGCGUUUAGAGUUGGCGUUAUAGAAUAGCGUCAUCUGUACCUCAUUUUUUUAACUUGAUAUUGACAGAUAAAAAUCAUAUGUUCUUAUUCAGUACUUUUCGUACUUCUCGACUUUUAAUUAUUCUAUUGUUAUUUUCGUUGACCGGUGAUUUCCUUGUGAUUUGAACUUUUGAAAAUACACGUGAUUUAAUUGUAUACUGAAUAUUUUAUCAAAAAAGUCUGGAUAUUUACAUCCACUGUUAUUUAAAGCUUGGGUAAAAGGUUUCCCAAAUAAAACACCUAAGGUUUGUCAACAAGAAUCAAACUUGUUCUGAACAACCAACAAAGAUAUAUUUGAAAAUGACAAAGACUGAGUCAACUUGCUGCUGCUAAAAGAAACUAACAAUGCCGAUAUUUUCCUAAACAGUCAUUAUUAUAACUCGAAUUCUACUCGUAACGUAAAUCACUUCUUACAGCAAAAUGUGUCUAGGUGACAUUUUGCUUUGAUGGAUAAAAACUCUACAAAUUCCUCUGUGGCAUUAUGCACUAGAGAAGUAUAUAGCACACGAACUGAUUAAGAAAGAGACAAUUCCUGAUGAAUCACAAUCAACAUCUCAUUCUACACCAGCACAGAUGCCAAUGAAAAAAAAUUUCAUUGAUAGAGAGUGAGUUGAAUACUAAUCCUUUACGUCGUGAUUCGGGUCUUGGAGGCCUGCAGAUUAAUCAAGAAAUAACUAAAUUGCAAAAAUAACUUGAUGGAUCGAUGGAUCUCAAAAGCAAAAAACGCAACGCUUGAUAUCAAAAAAAUUUUAGAAAAAAAAGACAGGCAUUAAUCAAAGACCUUAUCAAGGAUCCAGUUGUAAAACAACAAUUAAAUUUGCACGAGAUAGUUGGUCGCCCGUGUUUGGAGGAGUCUGUACCUGAGUUUUAGAAAGUUUUAGCAGAAAUUGCAAGCUUUGGAUGUGAUGCAUGGUUUUAAUUUAUCACGAAGUGCUACGUAUCUUCGUCUUUUACCUAGAUACUCUCCUACAAUUGAAGGGAAAAACACGUAGUAACAGUUCCGUUGAAAUAAGGUAGAGCAACAAAUGAUGAGCCCAAACGAGAUCCAGAUGGUCAAUUUUGCACUGCUUCGAUUUGGGAUAUCGAGUCACUCGCCUCAUUGCUUGGACCUGAUCUGGGUAACAUUCAGCAUUAUCAGCACGCUCUCAUAGCAUUGAUUUAGAGCAUCUCAUGGAACUAAAAGUAUUGAUUAUGUUAGUCAGUUAUGAUCAUGACUGUUAACGGAGGACCUGAUGCAAAUCCACGCUUUCCUAAAGUUAUCUCUCAGGCCGUGUCUCACUUUCGUAAAUUUGAGCUUGAUGUUCUAGUUAUUGUCACGAAUGCUCCAGGAUGAAGUUUGCUUAAUGGAGUAGAGCGCAAAAUGGCUCCAUUGAGUCAUCAAGGUCAUCGGAACUUGUCUUACCGUAUGAUUCUUUUAGUAAUCAUCUUGAUGAUCAACGACGUACAGUUGAUGAUGAACUUGAACUCAAAAACUUCGAAAUAGCUGGUGAUAUUUUAGCGCAAAUAUGGAGUAAAUUGAUUAUUGAUGAUAGACCAGUCGUUGCUGAAUACAUAGAUCCGGGACGUGAUAAUGUUGAUGUAAGCCCAGAAGAAUGGGCUGCUGAUUGGUACUGUAGACAUAUUUACUGCAAAUUAGCAAAUGCACCAAAUUAAAAUGAUGUGGAAAAUUAAGGAGUAAUUUGCGAAUGAUUUUAUUAGAUGGAUUUAUUCCACCACCUCAUCCUCUUCGACAAGGGCAAUAUUUAGAUAUUCCCUUUCCUAAAGACCAAGCUAAUACUAAUUUUUGCCCUUUAUUUGAUCAUGACCUUUUUCCUAGCCGUUCAGACUUCAUUUUAUCACCAUACGGUUUUUAUUGUCCUACAGUUCAAACACAGUUGAUUGCACGUACAUGUCCGACGGGUGGAUUGUACUUCGCAUCAAAUAAAAAUAUGAGAACUCAGCGACAAUCAAGUAUCAGUGUACUCGCACCGAGAAUGUUCAAUCGAUUAAAUUUUUACGUCGUCAAGCUGAGUGUAGCCUGUGUCUCACAUCGUACAACAAUAAUACUCAUGAUGUAGAAUGGUAUGACAGUGAAGAUAUUGAUAUCGAAAAGUUAGAAGAGUCUAUAGAAGAACAAAAAAGAAUCAGUCGUUCCAGUAAUCGAAUCAAUAUCAGACUGGUUUUACUGAACUAAUUCUGGUCAAAACUGUGAUAAAUUGAUAAAAUUAAUGUUAUUGCAGUAAGUUAAGGAUUUUUAUAGUAAACAGAUUGUAAUAAAAGAUGUUUUCAUAAAAAACUGAUUUAAAUUUUA